rnacentral:misc_RNA from 1 species
UUUUGUGAUGUGCUUCUAUUUGGCUAUGCACAAAUUUUAUGGUGAACAAAAAAUUGAGUAUUCACCUUUAACAAAAGAAGAUCAUCAGCAGUUGCUAGAAGAAGAUUCAGAUGAUGUUGAAUCACAAAAGACUGCUAGCAAAUCAAACACUUUUAUGAAUAUAGGAAGAAGCUCUGCCCCAGUUGACAUAGAAAGGUAAAAGGAAGGGGAGAAAAAGACAAAGAAGAUAGCAAAAAGUUUGAAGUAAAAAGUGGUAAGGUAUGUCAUAUGUGUACAACUUAAUUUAGUUGGUGGGAUCCCAUAUGUUUAAUUAAGCAUUCAAUAGUG